rnacentral:rRNA from 1 species
UACGUAGGGGGCGAGCGUUGUCCGGAUUCAUUGGGCGUAAAGAGCUCGUAGGCGGCUUGCUAAGUCAGGUGUGAAAUCUCCAGGCUCAACCUGGAGUCGCCACCUGAUACUGGUAUGGCUUGAGUCCGGUAGGGGAUCACGGAAUUCCUGGUGUAGCGGUGAAAUGCGCAGAUAUCAGGAGGAACACCGGUGGCGAAGGCGGGUCUCUGGGAAACAACUGACGCUGAGGAACGAAAGCGUGGGUAGCAAACAGG